CCCUUGUCGUCCACCGUAGUCGUGAAGCCUGUAGAAGACCCCAUCCACAAGUUCUGGUCUGAGACAUCAUACCCAGGGGCUCCAGUUAUUGGCUUCCGGAUGUCGGCUCUGAUCCGGGGAUCCCUUUAGCGGCCCCUUUGAUCCGCAGCCCCAGACAGACCGUAAGCACAUUCCACGGUCGCUUCGGUUUUUACCUGUCGGCACAAGCGGGACGAGUGAGCAGCUCAUCAAACGCGUGACCGCGGGCUCCUGAUUACAGAGAGAGAUGGGUGAUGUGGAAGCGGCAUUCUCGUACAAACGUGUUAUUUGUGACAGAGCUUUAGACCAUGUGCGGGAAGAACCAGAAAUGGAGACAGGAGGAAAGGUUGCUGUUCUCCCCAGUGACUGCAGCCUUAAUUGGGAUGACGGUUAGAGUGUCGGCCCCUAUGUGUUGGAUGGAGAGCUUCAGGCUUGAGUGAACAGAUGUCUCUGGGAAGGAAAGGUGACAGACGUUUCUGCAGUUACUCAUCCCUAAAUAGGCCCGGGAGGACUUGAGUCUGAAUGAAAGAUGACCCGGGUGUGCAACAGGAAGAGAUGGAGAUGAGGAUAAAAAGAGAAUAGGUUUCAAGUACACAGGUCUACUGGGAAACUCAUUCACACAUUAACAGGAUAUCCUGGGAGACUACUGUGAAGGCGCCCACCCUCAACACACAGAGGAACUAUCAACAUCUGCAAUGAAGACAAAUGGAUCAUCUUGUUAGACAGCCCCACAGCCAUUCUGUGUAUGAUUAGGCAUAGAAACGACGUGAAACAAGACAGACUCUCUUACGAGGCAGUCACGGUGUAGGUGUAUCCAUAACCUGAGUGCUCUCCGGGGACAUGACGAAAUUGUGGAACCUUUGGUGUAACAACUGGCAGUGUCUACAUCACAGAGAACACAAGAAUGAGAGGGGGAAGAGAGAAAACACAAGAGAUGCAUGCAGACAGGUUAAAACAGCAGCGGGGUGUUCCCCCCUGAGGACUGACAGAUGUGAGGACGAGAGGAGAAACAUGGAAGGACAGGGGCGAAAUAUCUGCUACUGCUAAAACAUUCUGAGUAUCUUAAGGUAAAAGCGGCAGCCCACGCCGAGCUUAAGGACAAAGCCACAUUUCACACUGACACCAGGGCGGCACGUGGUGACGUGGGCUGGCCCACCUGUCCGCUCAUCUCAUUAAACAUUCAUUGGUGGGUAGACAGGGUCCGUUCUGCAAGGAUAAGGGUAGUAUUAAAGAAUUUCACCUCCCCUCCCGGGUUUCGUGAUUGACUCUGAGCGGGAGACAGGGCGGGAAUGAGGAGAAAAGCAGAUGGAGCGACCUCAAUGAGAAAACAUUCACCCACUGCACAUCUACAGGCUCCUCCAGCUGCUUAUAGCAUUACAUUAGGGAAAACAAACAGAGGCAGAGAUACUAAAAGCCUCUGUUCAGUGUUGGGAAUAGAAAAAACAUGACAAACACAUGUACAUACACACGGACGCACAUAAAGAGGGAUAUAGACAACAAUCGCAGGGUUGUGCACAAUGUACCCCAUUUUGGUGUACAGACGGCACAGCGGUUUCACAGCAAUCAGUGCCCGGUGCUAAAUUAUAGCUCUGUGAUUUCAAAGCCAUUGUGAAGAAAGGGCAGGGGCAGCAUCUGCGUCGUUUUCCUCCCAUCGCACAGGCUGUGGGUGAGAACCUGACUCUGCGUUUUGAUUGCAAGUUUACAAAAAUACCCAUAAAGCUCUGCAGUGCUCCAGACACCUUUUUGGUUUCUGCCUCUUUAAAAGUGGUCAUGGUAAAGAGGCCAUUUUGUUACCUGCUUCAUAAUCUUAUAAAGCUUCAAUAAUCCUCAAUAAUGCUUCACAAAGCCAAAAGAGUUUGAGGAAACCUGGCUUUGAAUGCAGUAUUACAGUAAGAAAAAAAAUGCAUUACAGUAAAUUUAAAAACAGAAAAAAAAAAAAAAAAAAAAAAAACAGCCUGACACAUUAUAGCCAUAAGAAUUAUGUGGGAAACUGUACUUAAUUUUUAAUAAUAUGUUAAUGCAUUUCAUUUUCAAACUUUUUUUUUGGAGAUAAACUGAUUAUUUUUUCUUUUGAUUUUUCGGGUGUGCGUCGACAACACUCAAGUCAAUUAUACAAACCCCAAAAAACACAAUUAGUAAAUAUUAAACUUAAUUAUAAUACAGAGACAUUUAUUAUUCUAUAAAAUAAAAUACAUUUAAUGAACAUUAUUACUAAUUAACAUAUUGGGAAAACAAAAAAACUUGAACCAAAGUCAGGAAUAUUACAGACAAUUACCUAAAGCCUCUUAUAAAUCUACAGAACAGGGUUUAUCCCUGACAAACAGGAGAUGUUCAGACUACACUCGAGUGCUAAUCAAGAGUGCUUCACACUGCGGCUCACACCUCCACGCCUACAGACUCCCCUCCAGCGCUGAAAUCAAUACAAAGUACCAGCGUUCACCCCCCUUAAUUAAAUCAAUAUCAAAGCAUCGUUUCCAGUCACUCCACUUGUGAAGUGCAACCAACGAAAAAGAAGGAUGGCUUUGCAGAGGACCAACAAUAAGGUAAUAAAUGGAACCAGAAAGUGGUGGAUGUUUCUGGGAACAGCAAGUACAAAUUAAGGAGAGACGGGGUAAAACAGCUGUUGCAUGUAGGGGUGAGUUGUGGUGGAUGUGUAUAAACUGGCACCUGGUAAGGGAACCACUCCAGUCAUUAAGCUCUGUGCCAGAGACGGCCUCCCUACCCUCACUGGCCAAACUAAUACAACCACUGCCCAAGACACUCAUGAACCAGAAUUAUCAAACAGAUGUACAGUAUUACACAGUCUCUGCUGGUCACAGGCAAGGAUUUAACCAAAGGAAGACUGGUGGGAUGCACCAAAGGUCAUUUACGGAAAAAAGGCCAAUGUUUAAAGGGGGUGGGGGGCAUAAGGAUCUCUAGAAAUCUUAAUAUUCAUUUUUAAAAAUGGCUUUAUAAAAGGUUACUGUGGUGUAUUUCCAGUUAUUUACUUGCUAUUUUUAAAGGGUUAGUUCACCCAAAAAUGAAAGUUCUGUCAUUUAUUACUCACCCUCAUGUCGUUCCACACCCAUAAGACCUUCGUUCAUCUUCGGAACAAAAAUUAAGAGAUUUUUGAUAAAAUCUGAUGGCUCAGUGAGGCCUCUAUUGAAAGCAAGUUAAUUUACACUUUCAAAUGCCCAGAAAGGUACUAAAGUUAUAUUUAAAACAGUUCAUGUGACUACAGUGGUUCAACCUUAAGGUUAUGAAGCAAUAAGAAUACUUUUUGUGCACCAAAAAAAAACAUGGAACAACAUGAGGGUGAGUAAUUUUAUCUGAUGAAAUUAAAAAGUAAAAGAAAAAUUAAACAUGCAAAGGCCGCACACUGUCAACAGCCUUAAGGCAUGGCUAAAAAAGUAAAAGGACAAAAAUAUAUUUAAAAAAAAAAAAAAAACUUUGUUAUACAUAUAAAACUUAAUAUAAUUAAACAUUUAGGGAAAAAUAUUGCAAACUAUUUUAAUGUCAUGCAGCAAUAAAAAAAUAUAUAUAUAAAUAUAAAAAAUGAUUAACAUUUAAACUUAGGGCAGAAAAAAAAACUAACAAUUGUUUUUAAAUGACAAAUUUGUCAAAUUCCCUGAUAUUUCCAGUUUUUUUUUUAAAUGACAGAUCAAGUGAAUGGGGGAAAAAUAAAGACAGGAGACAAACCUGUCAUACAUAAUUAUACUAACUGCAAACUGACACGUAAUUAUACUCCCAAAUAUCUACACAAGGUGACAUACCCAUCUCUGUUAUGAAUUAGUUUCCACCAGCUGAAGACAAACAGCAGCUAAUACGUCUGUUGGAGACGUGGUUGCUGACGCUAAUGCCGAAUCUAAUCUGUCAGUGCGGGUAACUGAAAGUGUUCAUUACUUUACUGAGGUUUCAGUUACACAACUACAUAGCACCCCCACCCUAGAGAGAAAUUACACACGGCCUCUGGAGAUACACACAAACGUUCCUUUGCCCAAGGAAUUCCGUUUCACUACUGAUCCCACACUUUGAGUAAUUAAAUCUAACUAAUUAAAGAACACAGAGAAAAGGAAAAGAAUUGAUAGAGACAGAGAGAGACAGCGUGCGCAAGCUUUUCCCUGCUCCGCAUGGGGUGCUGGAAACUGGAGAUGUUAUCAGGGCGAUUUGUGGGUGUUUAGAGUCUUUUAAAUGAAGUCGUGAGCUGAGAUCAUCACAGCGUCAAGCCAUGCAUUAACCGCAGACUGUGCAGUGCUCAUAAGAGAUGGCAACUUCAGCCCUGUGAUACCACAAAAUCAAUCAGAGCUGUUUAUUUUCAGUCAACACAUCUCUGUAUAACAGCCUGAGUUUGAUUCGCAGGGGAAAAUAACUAUGCAGAGGUUGCAGAUAUGUUCAGAUUUUUGGUCAAAAUUUGAUUUGAUUACUAUUUACACUGAAAUAAUGAUAGUGGCACAGCACAUAUUGCAGACAUGUGCUCAGAUUGAAUUACAGUGUGACAUGCUGCAAUACUCCACUCUUCUCUUUAGAGAUGGUCUGAAGUCAUCAGAAAUCAUGGAUUGAGAGUUAAGCUGCAGGAAAUAGCUGUGCAUUUAUUGGCAGACUACUAGUUCCAUGAUGACAAAGUGGAUCUGUGAACUGAAUUUGUAAAAAAUUUAAUCUGAGAAUCUGAAUUCUUUUAAAACAAGUCAAUAAACUCGAUAGCCACUAUGGUAAAGGGCAGCUAUUAUCUGCACAUCAAAUGCUGAAAAGACCAAAAUUUUCUUUUCACAUCGUCUCGUGUCAACUAGUAGCGACAAUUUCCUCUAACUGAUGGCAAAAUUAACAUGAAAAAUUUGUUAAGAACAAGGUCAUCAAAAUCACAAUGAUGACUGUCCCGUUCCUUUCUAAGCUUAUGAAUGUGGUCUUGAUGAAAAAAAGCAUUAGUGUUUCAUAUAAUUGUUUUCCUCUUUAAAGCUUAUGCGUUUAAUGUUAAAGUGCCACAGAGCUUCCAUUGUUUUAAAGUGGCAAAAAAAUGAUCCCCAAUGCUAGGUUUCUUUUCAUUUAUUUUGAACAGACAUUAGUGCAAAUUACAGUUUGUUCCACCUAGCAGCAUUUAGUCCCCCCCUGAGGUAGUUUGUACAGUACAGCCUCCUUUAGUGUAUUAAGCACUACGCAGUAAACAGAAUGCAAUCUAGCAUAGGUCUUUUGUUUUGUAGGGCUGAUAAAAAACAACAACAAAAAACACAUUAUUUGGUCACAUUCAGCCACAAAUCUGAAAAGCAUCUCGUGUUAUAAAAUUACAAAAUAAAUAGAAUAAUGAAAAAUUAUGCAGAGAUUUGCACUCCUGUAGUCAUUUUCUGCCUAGCUCCAGUGAUCUAGGCACAUCUGGAUGAUGUCAUCAUUGUGCUUUUGUAAAAUAAAGAAAACAACCAGGAUGCCGCUUUCUGCCAUCCUGGUUUCCUUUUCGCGUGGAGUGUGUCCCAAAAAUUAAUCGAAACUCAGCUUAUAGGCUACUAGCAGUCUCUUGUGUGCCAUCUGAGCUCGUUUUGGAUGUCUGCGUAGCUCGUCUUUUCUUCUUCUGCUCUUUUUUUUCUCAUGUGGCGGUUAGCAAACAUUGUUGCAUUACCGCACACGCCCCCUUCUGGAUUGAAGUGCGGAUUGCCUGUGACUGACUGUAUUCUUCAUCUGACUAUUCACCGAUCCGUGAUGGUUCGGGACGAAUACAUGUACCGUUACACCCCUAAUAAACACACACACUCUCAUACGUCACACACUUA